rnacentral:rRNA from 1 species
UACGAAGGGGGCUAGCGUUGCUCGGAAUCACUGGGCGUAAAGGGUGCGUAGGCGGGUUUUUAAGUCAGGGGUGAAAUCCUGGAGCUCAACUCCAGAACUGCCUUUGAUACUGAAGAUCUUGAGUCCGGGAGAGGUGAGUGGAACUGCGAGUGUAGAGGUGAAAUUCGUAGAUAUUCGCAAGAACACCAGUGGCGAAGGCGGCUCACCUGGCCCGGUACUGACGCUGAGGUGCGAAAGCGUGGGGAGCAAACAGG